rnacentral:guide_RNA from 1 species
AUAACUGAAGGGAUGUAAUGUCCCGCAACUAGGUGUAUAAG